UGAAGUGAAACAUCUCAGUAAGCGGAGGAAAAGAAAGAGAAUCGAUUCCGUAAGUAGCGGCGAGCGAAAGCGGAUCAGCCCAAACCUGGAGGAUUUAUCCUCUGGGGGUUGUAGGGCCAGGUCGUGGAGAAACUAUUGAUAGCAAAAGGCUCUGGAAAGUGCCGCCAUAGAAGGUGACAGCCCUGUAUGCGAAAUCAAUAGCCAUCCUACUGGUACCCUGAGUAGCACCGGACACGUGAAACCCGGUGUGAAUCUGCGCAGACCAUUGCGUAAGGCUAAAUACUCGACGAUGACCGAUAGUGAACUAGUACCGUGAGGGAAAGGUGAAAAGUACCCCGAUAAGGGGAGUGAAACAGAUCCUGAAACCGGACGCCUACAAGCAGUCGGAGCCGCCUUGCGCGGUGACGGCGUACCUUUUGUAUAAUGGGUCAGCGACUUUGUCUCUCGAGCAAGCUUAAGCCGGUAGGUGUAGGCGCAGCGAAAGCGAGUCUGAAUAGGGCUACUGAGUUGCUGGCAUAAGACCCGAAGCGGAGGUGAUCUAACCAUGGCCAGGUUGAAGCUUCAGUAAAAUGAAGUGGAGGACCGAACGGGUACAGCUUGAGAACUGUUCCGAUGAGCUGUGGUUUGGAGCGAAAGACUAAUCAAACCCCGUGAUAGCUGGUUCUUUCCGAAAUAUAUUUAGGUAUAGCGUCGCGUGCUGACUCCUGGAGGUAGAGCACUGAAUGGGCUAGGGGCCAUACCCGGUUACCAACCCCAAUCAAACUCCGAAUGCCAGGGGGUGAAGCGCGGCAGUCAGACUGCGGGUGAUAACGUCCGUAGUCGAGAGGGCAACAACCCAGACCAUCGAAUAAGGUCCCUAAACGUGUCUCAGUGGAGAAGGAUGUGGAUUUACACAGACAAUGAGGAUGUUGGCUUAGAGGCAGCCACCAUUUAAACAGUGCGUAAUAGCUGACUCAUCGAGUGAAUCUGCGCCGAAAAUGAUCGGGACUUAAGACACGUACCGAAUUCAUGGGUGCACUAAUUUAUUAGUGUGCAGUAGGAAAGCGUUCCAAGCGGAGCGAAGGGGAAGCGGCAAGCAACCCUGGACUGCUUGGAAGUGAGAAUGCAGGCAUGAGUAACGAUAAAACAGGUUAAAAUCCUGUUCGCCGUAAGGAUAAGGUUUCCUGGGGAAGGUUCGUCCGCCCAGGGUUAGUCGGGAGCUAAGGUGAGGCCGUAAGGAGUAAUCGAUGCACAAGAGGUUAAUAUUCCUCUACCGGCAUGAAGGUGUUUGAUCUUCGGAGUGACGGAGAAGGUUAAUCUGGCUGUCUGAUGAAUGUGGCAGUCUAAGCACGUAGGUUGAGAGCAUAGGUAAAUCCGGCUCUCUUUAAGCUGAAAUGUGGGGACCUCAAAGCUACGGCUGCGAGGGAUCAGAUGAUACCAAGCUUCAAGUAAAAGCUUCGUUGUUAGCCCAUUGUCGCCCGUACCGCAAACCGACACAGGUAUCCGGGUUGAGUAUACUAAGGCGCGUGAGUUAAAUCUCUCUAAGGAACUCGGCAAAUUUGCCCCGUAUCUUCGGUAGAAGGGGUGCCUACUUCGGUAGGUCGCAGUUAAGAGGUUCAACCGACUGUUUAGCAAAAACACAGCUCUCUGCUAAGUCGCAAGACGAUGUAUAGGGAGUGACACGUGACCAAUGCAGAAAGGUGAACGUCUGAGGUGAGAGCUUCGGACCCAAGCCCCUGUGAAUGUCGGCCGUAACUAUAACGGUCCUAAGGUAGCGAAAUUCC
rnacentral:rRNA from 11 species